AGAGAUUAGAGUUUGAUCCUGGCUCAGAACGAACGCUGGCGGCAGGCUUAACACAUGCAAGUCGAACGCCCACUUCGGUGGGAGUGGCAGACGGGUGAGUAACGCGUGGAAACAUACCUUUUGCUUCGGAAUAUUCCCGGGAAACUGGGAGCAAUACCGAAUGUGCCCUGAGGGGGAAAGAUUUAUCGGCAAAAGAUUGGUCCGCGUUAGAUUAGGUAGUUGGUAGGGUAAAGGCCUACCAAGCCUACGAUCUAUAGCUGGUCUGAGAGGAUGAUCAGCCACAUUGGGACUGAGACACGGCCCAAACUCCUACGGGAGGCAGCAGUGGGGAAUAUUGGACAAUGGGCGCAAGCCUGAUCCAGCCAUGCCGCGUGAAUGAUGAAGGCCUUAGGGUUGUAAAAUUCUUUCACCGGGGACGAUAAUGACGGUACCCGGAGAAGAAGCCCCGGCUAACUUCGUGCCAGCAGCCGCGGUAAUAAU
rnacentral:rRNA from 1 species